GGGUAGUCCCACAUCCCCCGCGCCUGGAGGGCCUAAUCACCGAAGGUGCUGAUGAGGGGAUAUGUGUUGCAGCGGACAGGGAUUGAGAGUGCAGGGGAGCGGUGUGAAGGGGUCGGGGUUUGGCAAAGGUGGAAGUGAAGGCGUGUCUCCUACGCCAGGUGUGAUCAUGGAAGAUGCCACCAUUGAGUUGGGUCCCCUGGUUUUACUGGAGAUGAUGAGGCCAAGUGGCAGCACUUAAUUAUUAAAGCAACACUGAGCAGUGCUGGUUUGAAGGUCUGCUUCCUCAGGGUGUGAAUGCUUACACAAGGACUAUGUCUGGAACCAAAAGGAUUUUCUCAGGUGCCUCUUGGUACUUUGUGUCCAGUAAAAAAAAAACAUAAAGAAAACUACAAAAGCAGCAACAACAAAACAGCAGAAUGAUGAAUAACUUGGAUUAAGAAUGAAGAUUUGUGUUGUACCGUCAGGUAAAGAAGUCAGUGAACUGAGGUUCUGGCUAAGGGCAAGGGAAAUAUGGAAGAAGCCACCUGUGAUGUUAUAACCAAUAACAGAAACAAAGACUGUAUGAGCUUUGUAUGUUUUCUCUUUGCUAGCUAUAUGUAUGUGUUUUGUACAUGAAAAUCAUGUUCUUCUCUCUCCAUUAUUUUAUAUUUAUGUAGUUGGAGGUUACAUUUACAAUUUAGUUUCUAUGUAGCAGAACAUUCAGUAGGAUUAUGAUUGAAUUUGAAGACUAUUUAAUACGGUCAGUAGUAGAUAUGGUGACUGUUGGAAGUUCAUUUGGGGGGAAACAAUGAGAACGCCUUCACUUCUGUGAAGGAUAGCUGUAUCUUGGUAGGUGGAAACAGAUGUUGUGUUGAUCCUACAGAAGUUGAAAUGUGUGUAGAAGGGUGGUGCAUAUGGAAACUGAGUAGCUGAAGGAGUGGACUCUGAAUCAUCAAUCCUUAUUAACUCUCAGCUCCAAAUCCAUCCUUUAUUGCCUGCUUGUUAUACUGGAACAUUUUUCCCUUGCUAGCUGAUUCAAUAGUAAGCUUCAUUAGUCGAUAG
rnacentral:lncRNA from 1 species